UACGUAGGGGGCAAGCGUUGUCCGGAAUUAUUGGGCGUAAAGAGCGCGUAGGCGGUCCGGUAAGUCGGUUGUGAAAGUCGGGGGCUCAACCCUCGAAUGCCGGUGGAUACUGUCGGGCUAGAGUGCGGAAGAGGCGAGUGGAAUUCCUGGUGUAGCGGUGAAAUGCGCAGAUAUCAGGAGGAACACCUAUUGCGAAGGCAGCUCGCUGGGACGUAACUGACGCUGAGACGCGAAAGCGUGGGUAGCAAACAGG
rnacentral:rRNA from 1 species